ACUCUUUCUUCAUCUUACUUUUGUUUUUUAACUUUUAAGGAAGAGGCUUGAAGAGUGGCGAAAAUUUUAAGUUGCUCUAUGAUCUUGCGGACCAAUUGAAUGCUGCAGUUGGAGCUUCCCGUGCAGCUGUAGAUGCUGGCUUUGUUCCUAAUGACAUGCAAGUUGGACAGACGGGUAAAAUAGUAGCACCAGAACUCUAUAUUGCUGUGGGAAUAUCUGGAGCAAUCCAACACUUGGCUGGGAUGAAGGACAGCAAGACCAUUGUUGCUAUUAACAAGGAUCCAGAAGCUCCAAUUUUCCAAGUGGCAGACUAUGGACUGGUGGCAGACUUAUUUCAGGCAGUGCCUGAGAUGACGGAGCUCCUGAAGAAGAAGUGAGCAACUGCAAUGGCUGCAGUUGGGCAGUAAUGACAGCACAACCCAAGAUUACUGGAGAGCACUGGUGUCAGUGUAUGUUUGUGCUGGGCAGUGUUUGUUAUGGGCAGAGGUGGGGAGAGAGGUGGUUUGAAGGAAUAACAGUAAUAAAGGACUGUAGUGGAAAGAGA